rnacentral:antisense_RNA from 1 species
AAUUCCAUCCCCUGCAAUUGGAGCCUGAAUAAUGAGUUAUUUCACAGGAAGAUUGAUCUGGGUAUUAGGGCAUCAUUUAGUUUGCCAUUACAACAGCCAAUUUUGGUUACAUGCUCAGCUGUGAAGGGGAAAUGGGCCAGCCUGCUGGAGCUUUCUAAAGCAUGGAGCUGAGAACAGUGCAGUCUUCAGGGAUCUGGUGAGCAGACGGCUACAGGAUUUGUACCCCAGGAUUAAAGCCAGAAACCAAAAGACCGUCUGCUGGUACCCGUAGGAGGGAGGAUACAGGUCAUUUUCAUGUGCAGUGACAUCGUAGGAACGGUCACUGCGCAGGAUCGAGCUACAAUGAAGAGGAGGGAGGCAGUCUGCACGCACCGCCAUUUUCUAGGAACUGGGAAGCCCCCCCACCCCUUAGGAAGAUCCAUCCCUGUGGAACCUUGCCAAGGCUUACCAGCCUUUGCUGAGCUUGAUCUAUUGUCCCUCCUUGUCCCCAUCAAAAUAUCCAGCACUCCACCUUCAGGGAGUAGACUUGACCCUCAAAUAGCAAGUUCAGCCUUCCCAGGUCUAGGUUCCCUGGGAGGUCAAGAUUCGUCUGGUUCCUUAGUACAGAGGGCUAGCUGUGAGUUGGAAUCCCCCUAUGAGCUUUAGAAUCAGUCAAGAGAAACUGGGCCCCUUCCCUUCAUCCCUCUUCUUUUCCCUUUUUGUCCCAGAGCUCAGCUCUGACUCAAAGUUUUUCCAUUUACCAUCAACAUGGAAACUUGGCUCCUCACAUGCCUAUAUUAUCCCCCUUUUGCACAUGGUCUUGUUGAUCAAAACUCCCUUUCUGUGAAAGAGGCCUGUGGGGCUCAAGAAGCCUGGUCAGCCAGCCAGGCUAGUCCCACAUACCUCAGAACCAGUUUAAUAAAGGCUCUAUGUCAUUCU